AGGGUGGUACAAAGAAGAGAAGACCAGGGAAGAGAAGCUCAUGAAGGAAACAAACAUGGCUGUCUGGUUUGGAAAAGCACAUUUGAUAGUUUAUGAAGUCACAGAGGAGAGUGACUCUUGCCUCGCCACCCACUUAUUCAUCUGGAAGGAGGCUUCCAUGAUUUUAGCACAUGGAAGAAAUGUCCCUACCCAUGCAUACAGAAACGCAUAAGAACAGGAAGUGACGUAUUGUUUAUCAGGAAAAACAGUAUUCAUGUAUUAUUUACAAAAAUUGAGGCUGAUCUCCAAGCUCUACUGUGGAAAGAGUUCAUCAAGUUCCUAGACUGAAGAAAGCUAAUUGUAAGAAAUACAUAUGUAGUAUGCACAAGUUUCAUUAUAAAUAAGAGUAAAAACGUGCAUUGUAUAUGUA
ensembl:lncRNA GRM7-AS3 GRM7 antisense RNA 3